rnacentral:rRNA from 1 species
UGCCAGCCGCCGCGGUAAUACGGAGGGGGUUAGCGUUGUUCGGAAUUACUGGGCGUAAAGCGCACGUAGGCGGAUUAGUAAGUUAGGGGUGAAAUCCCGGGGCUCAACCCCGGAACUGCCUCUAAUACUGCUAGUCUUGAGUUCGAGAGAGGUGAGUGGAAUUCCGAGUGUAGAGGUGAAAUUCGUAGAUAUUCGGAGGAACACCAGUGGCGAAGGCGGCUUUCUAAUUUACACCUGACGCUGAGGCGCGAAAGCGAGGGGAGCAAACAGGAUUAGAUA